AACGUACGCUGGCGGCACGCCUAACACAUGCAAGUCGAACGAAGUAGCAAUACUUAGUGGCAGACGGGUGAGUAACAUGUAGGUAUCUGCCCNUNGGCCUGGAAUAACACGAGGAAACUUGUGCUAAUACCGGAUAAGUCUUUACGGAGAAAGCUUUAUGCACCAUUGGAUGAGCCUGCACUUGAUUAGUUUGUUGGUGGGGUAAUGGCCUACCAAGACUGUGAUCNAUAGCUGAUUUGAGAGGAUGAUCAGCCACAUUGGGACUGAGACACGGCCCAAACUCCUACGGGAGGCAGCAGUGGGGAAUCUUGCACAAUGGAGGAAACUCUGAUGCAGCGAUGCCGCGUGANUGAAGAAGGCCCUUGGGUUGUAAAGCUCUUUCGUCGGGGAAGAAAAUGACUGUACCCGAAUAAGAAGGUCCGGCUAACUUCGUGCCAGCAGCCGCGGUAAUACGAAGGGACCUAGCGUAGUUCGGAAUUACUGGGCUUAAAGAGUUCGUAGGUGGUUGAAAAAGUUAGUGGUGAAAUCCCAGAGCUUAACUCUGGAACUGCCAUUAAAACUUUUCAGCUAGAGUAUGAUAGAGGAAAGCAGAAUUUCUAGUGUAGAGGUGAAAUUCGUAGAUAUUAGAAAGAANACCAAUUGCGAAGGCAGCUNUCUGGAUCAUUACUGACACUGAA
rnacentral:rRNA from 1 species